AUGCAGUCGAGCGAGCUUGCCUAUAGAAAUUCUUCGGAAUGGACAUAGAUACAAGCUAGCGGCGGAUGGGUGAGUAACGCGUGGGUAACCUGCCCUUAAGUCUGGGAUACCAUUUGGAAACAGAUGCUAAUACCGGAUAAAAGCUACUUUCGCAUGAAAGAAGUUUAAAAGGCGGCGUAAGCUGUCGCUAAAGGAUGGACCUGCGAUGCAUUAGCUAGUUGGUAAGGUAACGGCUUACCAAGGCGAUGAUGCAUAGCCGAGUUGAGAGACUGAUCGGCCACAUUGGGACUGAGACACGGCCCAAACUCCUACGGGAGGCAGCAGUAGGGAAUCUUCCACAAUGGACGAAAGUCUGAUGGAGCAACGCCGCGUGAGUGAAGAAGGUUUUCGGAUCGUAAAGCUCUGUUGUUGGUGAAGAAGGAUAGAGGUAGUAACUGGCCUUUAUUUGACGGUAAUCAACCAGAAAGUCACGGCUAACUACGUGCCAGCAGCCGCGGUAAUACGUAGGUGGCAAGCGUUGUCCGGAUUUAUUGGGCGUAAAGCGAGCGCAGGCGGAUUGAUAAGUCUGAUGUGAAAGCCUUCGGCUCAACCGAAGAACUGCAUCAGAAACUGUCAAUCUUGAGUGCAGAAGAGGAGAGUGGAACUCCAUGUGUAGCGGUGGAAUGCGUAGAUAUAUGGAAGAACACCAGUGGCGAAGGCGGCUCUCUGGUCUGUAACUGACGCUGAGGCUCGAAAGCAUGGGUAGCGAACAGGAUUAGAUACCCUGGUAGUCCAUGCCGUAAACGAUGAGUGCUAAGUGUUGGGAGGUUUCCGCCUCUCAGUGCUGCAGCUAACGCAUUAAGCACUCCGCCUGGGGAGUACGACCGCAAGGUUGAAACUCAAAGGAAUUGACGGGGGCCCGCA
rnacentral:rRNA from 2 species